rnacentral:misc_RNA from 1 species
CACGUCUUUUUCCGCGCUGGCAUACUUUGUUCCACUACCUCUACCCCUCCCCCCUGGCCGCCAACGCGUCGCGUGAAGAGAGUUGGUCAUGGCGACGAUGGAAAAUGUGGCCUUCGCCGGCUACGCGUACUACAGCACGGGUGGCGAGGGCUUCAUCUACGCCCUGAGCUCCAAAGAAGAUGUAGAGUCGACUGGCACACCGGUCAUAAUCGUCAACGCCACCUCCAAGGCGGUGAACUUCUUUCCGUUUCUAUUCCUUGUGGUUGGUGGUGUUCUCAUGGUCGGUCUCAUGGCCUCCGUCAUGGUGACGUUCUGCUGCCGGCGCAAGGUGGCAAAACUGGAGAAGAUGUACUGGGAGUUGCAGUACGCCUUUGCCGACGUGAACAAUACCCUCGUGCAGGAGGCAAGCCGCCGCACCACGUCGCCGGCCUCGCUGAAACAGAAGCAUACCCCACAAUCUACGAGUUGCCUAGUCGCCGGCUCCCAGUCGCCUCCACAGAUGAUGCAACGGCACGGCAGCAUCGCGAGAGUGGCUUCGAUGCGCCCGUCACAGCAUAUAAUGGAGCCGCUGCCGCCGGCAGCCCCGGUGUUUCCGGCAGCGCCGUUGCCUUACGGCAUGAACGCCAACCCUCUAUACUUUCAGCCGGUGACCACAAGCGCAGCGAGCCCGUACACGUGCUCGCACGGUGGCAAGGGCGCACAGGUCACCGUCUUCGCCGCACAGCCACCGCCGAUCCCCUCCUCUCCGCAGCCGCAGCGGCAGACACGCCUAUCUGUCGGUCCCGCGGCACCGCAGUCGCCGUGCACAACACCUGAGCCGCCGCUGCGUCGCCGGGCAUCAAAAGUGAGCUUCAUCGGUGCCUAGUCAAGCAGAGAAGCCGCGCGCGCGUACGCACAGAUGGAGAAGGGAGGGGGGGCGCAUGCUCUGUGUGUGUGUCUUGCAUUGAUGAGGUAGAAGGCACUCCUCCAAGGACGACAGUGACAUACUCAUCGCGAGUGCGUAAAAGGGUCUCUCUCCUGCGUUCUGAACCCUUGAAAGCAGUCUAUACCGCUUGUGACAGAAGGGGAAAUACAUGCUGCUCGCAGCAGCAACGACGAUGCCCCUGAUGCGCACUUCUUUCUCUGGUAUAGUCGUGCUAAACCUCGUAAGCCCUCUGCCUCCUCCCCCCCCCCGGUGUGCACAGGGCACACGCACCCAACCGUAUUCUCUAGUUUGCCUUUACCUUUUUUUCCCCUUCACUCAGAUCUCUCUCUCCCCUCUAUCAUUAGCCAUCCUCGACUUUACGCGUCGCUGCCGUUGUCCGCCUUCGUUAGGUUGUCAGAUGUUGCUGCUGCCUCGACGGAACUGGCUGCAUAUGCACGCGCGUGUCUUUGUAUGUAUGUGUGUACUUAUUUUUGCGUGUGGUGUGUGUCUGUGUGUCCAUGUGGAUCUCCUCCUCCGCCCUUCGGCCUUCCGUUGUC